UAUAAUUUUUAACUCUUUGUCUUAUUUAAAUUUUUUUUAUGAUUGAUAUUUUUGUUUUUUAUUACAUGAUAAAUCAUAAAUAGUACUUUAUGUGUGACUAACUUUUUACUAAUUUUCUAAAAAUUUUUUAAAUAAAACGGAUAGUCAAACGUUGGACAUGUAAACCGAAG
rnacentral:pre_miRNA from 1 species